rnacentral:lncRNA from 1 species
CCGUCCUCAUCGAAACCCUCACCGCCCUCGGCGCCGAGGUCCGCUGGUGCUCCUGCAACAUUUUCUCCACCCAGGACCACGCAGCCGCCGCCAUCGCCCGUGACAGCGCCGCCGUCUUUGCCUGGAAGGGCGAGACCCUCCAGGAGUACUGGUGGUGCACCGAGCGCGCCCUCGACUGGGGCCCCGGUGGUGGACCCGAUCUGAUCGUCGACGACGGCGGUGACGCCACCCUCUUGAUCCACGAGGGAGUCAAGGCCGAGGAGGAGUUCGCGAAGUCCGGGACUCUCCCC